CCCAUCCAGCCGCAGGAGCAGACUCAAAGGAGCUGAUGGGCAGGACAUUCCUUCGGCCACGACCAAAGAAAUCUGGGGAAGACCGGGCUGAUUUCCAAGAACGCAUAGAGAACACGGAAUUUUCCAAGUUGAUUUGUUCGCAGGCCCUUGCUCCACCCGCCCCCUUUUUAUUUGCAGCCGGCGGAGCACCCAUGGGGCUGGGGAGGGGGGUGACAGAGGAGGAGACGGGAACAGCCUGGAACGGAGGCAAAGCCAGGUCAUGCAGAGUCUCCGGUGCCCAGCAGCGGCUUUACUGCGAGGGUACUGGGCACGUGAGAGGGUUCUAGGCAGGAGCCUUGGUCAGGUGACCACUCGAACUCCCCGCACCCUUGUCUGAAAACGGGGCUAAUGACAGUGCUCCAUUCAGGCGUGGUAAUGAGUAAAUGAGAGAUGACGCUGUAGAAGGUGCUACAGAGCGCCAGACGCGGACAUGGCUGAGACCCAGCUUCACCCCGUAGAUGUUUACAACACCCGAGGGAAUGGUGGAGAAACGAGAUGGAAAGAACCUGAGUCACCAAACGACUGAGUGACGGGAUCCACUCACCCAAAGGUGUCAGCGGUGAGCUGAGGGGGGAACAGAAUUUGUUCAAGACGCACAGCUCUAAAGAAUGGAAACAGCCUGCCAUCCAUCAUAACCAGGGAGACCGGUUAAAUAAGGGCAGGGCUCUUUAAACAGACCACCGUGCAGCCAUAUAAAAGAACAAAGAAACUCAGCUUGAGUGAAUGAAGAACUGUCUCCAAGAUACAUCCCGAAAAAGCAAGGUGCAGACCGUGGACAUUGUAUGUGACCAUGUGUAUUAAAAUGGGUGAAAUAUAGGAGUAUAAAUACAUAAUUUUUUUUUUUCUCGAAUACAAAUAAACUCUCUCGGAAGCACACAAGAGCCCGGAGAACACGGGCUGCCUCCAGGAAGGAGGGCAGGAGGGAGAAUUUUCUCCCUCUAUCCUUUUGUGGUUUUGGGGUUUCAAUCAUGAGAAUGAAUUAGCUAUGAAACAAUUCAUAAUUAUCAUUGAAUAAAGAAUACAUUCCGGCUUAAAGA